GUUCUCAAAUUUGAAGAUGAACCUUAACAGAAAACUUACUCUGUCCUGUGGCUUCAGGAUUCAAUGCAUGUUGUGGUAUAGUUAUUGGAUCAACAAGGAAUAUGAAGUAACGUUAUCAGCUAUCCAGUAUACAUCUGAAUUGAGGUCAUAAUUAGAGAAUAAAAUGAAAUGAGACAAAAAUGAAAGAAGAUAAAAACAAUUCAAAAUUGACCUUCACCCAGAAAAGUCCUUCCUGUUUUCAGUCAUCAGUGUUAAUAGUCAGUGAUGGUGUCUGUGUGCAAUUAAAACAUCUGGAUGAAAAAUGUUUCCAGUUCUCUGACACAGCACACCACACAAUGGGACAAUUGGAAACAUCUGGACACAGAAGAAUGGAGCUAUAAGGAUGUUAAAUCUCAAUGGAGAGCUUGAGGAACUCUGGUGACACC
rnacentral:lncRNA from 1 species